GCCAGUGUAGCUCAGUGGCAGAGCAACUGAUUUGUAAUCAGUUGGUCGGGGGUUCGACUCCCUCCACUGGCUCCA
rnacentral:tRNA from 1 species